rnacentral:rRNA from 1 species
AUUGAACGCUGGCGGCAGGCCUAACACAUGCAAGUCGAGCGGAUGAAGGGAGCUUGCUCCUGGAAUCAGCGGCGGACGGGUGAGUAAUGCCUAGGAAUCUGCCUGGUAGUGGGGGAUAACGUCCGGAAACGGGCGCUAAUACCGCAUACGUCCUGAGGGAGAAAGUGGGGGAUCUUCGGACCUUACGCUAUCAGAUGAGACUAGGUCGGAUUAGCUAGUUGGUGGGGUAAAGGCCUACCAAGGCGACGAUCCGUAACUGGUCUGAGAGGAUGAUCAGUCACACUGGAACUGAGACACGGUCCAGACUCCUACGGGAGGGACCAGUGGGGAAUAUUGGACAAUGGACGAAAGCAUGAUCCAGCCAUGCCGCGUGUGUGAAGAAGGUCUUCGGAUUGUAAAACACUUUAAGUUGGGAGGAAGGGCAGUAAGUUAAUACCUUGCUGUUUUGACGUUACCAACAGAAUAAGCACCGGCUAACUUCGUG